rnacentral:lncRNA from 1 species
GAGAGCUACCAGCUAUCCCAUGAUGCAAGCUUAGCCAAUCCAAGCUCUUCUUUGGGUGGUACUAGAGGCAGUAAAUCAGGAAAGGGCUCAUCCAGUUUCCUCUGAUGUCACCAACACCCUUUCAUAGUGGAGGAAGCCUGUCUGAAGCACCAGAGUAGCCAGAAGGAGAAGAGGAGAGAAGGUCCAAAUACCUACAUCCAGAUCUACUCACGUUUGCUCCAGAUAGAGGUUUGUCACAACCCACAGGUUGAGAACCGCUGCUUUAGAACAUCCUGCAUCUUAAAAUGGACUGUUUCAUCUCAGAGGAAAUUGCUACAUGACAAGUGCCAAGUAACCUUUCCUGCUAAGUGUGGCUAUUCUUUCGCGUUCCAGGAAAGCUGGAGAUGGUAGCUUCCUAAGGAGUAAUGGCAAUGAAGACUUUUCCUAUCUUACUACAUCAUUCGGUC